GUGGGGAAUAUUGGACAAUGGGCGAAAGCCUGAUCCAGCCAUGCCGCGUGUGUGAAGAAGGUCUUCGGAUUGUAAAGCACUUUAAGUUGGGAGGAAGGGCAGUAAGUUAAUACCUUGCUGUUUUGACGUUACCAACAGAAUAAGCACCGGCUAACUUCGUGCCAGCAGCCGCGGUAAUACGAAGGGUGCAAGCGUUAAUCGGAAUUACUGGGCGUAAAGCGCGCGUAGGUGGUUUUGUAAGUUGGGGGUGAAAUCCCCGGGCUCAACCUGGGAACUGCCUCCAAAACUGCAUGACUAGAGUACGGUAGAGGGUAGUGGAAUUUCCUGUGUAGCGGUGAAAUGCGUAGAUAUAGGAAGGAACACCAGUGGCGAAGGCGACUACCUGGACUGAUACUGACACUGAGGUGCGAAAGCGUGGGGAGCAAACAGGAUUAGAUACCCGUGUAGUCC
rnacentral:rRNA from 1 species